rnacentral:tRNA from 1 species
GCAAGUGUGGCCCAAUUGGCUAGGGCACCUGACUUCCAAUCAGAAGACUGUGGGUUCGAACCCCACCAUUUGCU